UAAACCCUUAUUAACCACCGAGAACACCCUCAGUACCACCUUCACCUCUUCCCCCACCCCUCACUCUGUUUGUUUACACUCUAAUUACAAUUAUGACAGUAGUGCUGCUGAGGUAGAUUCAUCAUUAGAACAGCACUGCUGAGGUAAAUGUAUGAUUAGAAUAGCACUGCUGAGGUAAAUGUGUGAUUAGAACAGCACUGCUGAGGUAAAUGUGUGAUUAGAAUAGCACUGCUGAGGUAAAUGUAUGAUUAGAACAGCACAGCUGAGGUAAAUGUGUGAUUAGAACAGCACUGCUGAGGUAAAUGUGUGAUUAGAAUAGCACUGCUGAGGUAAAUGUGUGAUUAGAACAGCACUGCUGAGGUAAAUGUGUGAUUAGAACAGCACUGCUGAGGUAAAUGUGUGAUUAGAAUAGCACUGCUGAGGUAAAUGUAUGAUUAGAACAGCACCUCUGAGGUAAAUGUGUGAUUAUAACAGUGCUGCUGAGGUAAAUGUGUGAUAAGAACAGCACUGCUGAGGUAAAUAUGUGAUUAUAACAGCGCUGCUGAGGUAAAUGUUUGAUUAGAAUAGCACUGCUGAGGUAAAUGUGUGAUUAGAACAGCACUGCUGAGGUAAAUGUGUGAUUAGAAUAGCACUGCUGAGGUAAAUGUGUGAUUAGAACAGCGCUGCUGAGGUAAAUGUGUGAUUAGAAUAGCACUGCUGAGGUAAAUGUGUGAUUAAACUGUGUGA